ACCUGUUUGUUUGUAAUAACCUGUUUGCAAUAACUUGUUUGUUUGCAACUCUCCUGGAUAACGCGUGGACCGCCUCUUCCACUGGAGCUCCUCUUCCACAGAACACCUAGACUACAAAAGAUGAACACACAAGAUUCUCACUGCCGUCUGCCUUUAGCCUUUUCCCGAACGCCUCUCCUAUGAUUGGUUUUCCCUACACGGCCCGGGAUGUUAGUAUGCUGCGCUCUCUCCCACGUCACUAGUUUCAUAAAUAGAUUUUCCUAACGUCAUGCCAGAUCAUUGUAAUUGGUUCCCGUCGCUUCUGUUGAAUUCCUGAUAGGCUAGGAAGUUUGUUCCUCGAGGUAAUAUUGUGGUGAGCCUAUCCUACCUGUUUGCUUGUCCUAACCUUAGCAGCACCUACAUUAUUACCUCGACAUUCCCCUCCCACGGAUUCUGCCCUCGUUGGCAGCAUUGAAGGAACGUAGCCAUGAUAUAGCAGCUACCUGUCCAUCGUCCAGAGAGAGAGUCAGCCAGCCCGUUAUAAUACACACCAGUUCCCAUUGAUCACCCAGCUACCCAACUGAUUUAGGAAUACUGAGACAGGUUCAGCAGCUGCAGUAAUUCAAGUAUUAUACAGAGCGUGAAGAAGAAUAACGCCUGUCUUUUAGUUACGAACAAAGUUGAGAGAACUUUAAGGUCAGAUGUUUUAGCGAGAAUAAAUAAGUUAGAAUAUUGUUUUUUUUAGCAGCAAACCCUUUUGUGCUGUGUUUUAAAUUGUGUAACUAUAAGUAGAUUCGGCUGAUCGAAGUAUAGCCGCUAGCUGUAAGAGAGUUCAAAGUCAAAGUAAUUUUAGUUUUGGCGUGGGAAGAGGGAUGAGCUCCUUAUAAUCCCAGUGCCCAACAGGGGGAGGCGAAUCCGCGAGGAUCCGGGGACACGUUAAACAAUUCUAUAGUGCU